AUUGAAGGCCAGUCAAUUUCGUGCCACUAACGGCCAAUCAGGACGCUGCAUACUGGCGAGCCAAACAGCCAAUGACAGAGGACUACUUCUUUUGAGGGAAGAAGAACGAAGAAGCAGCUCGCUUUUCUCGCUGCUAGCACUGAGAAACAAUGGCCGAAGACCAAGUGAUUGUGGGAAAUGAUGUUCUGAACCGGCUUCGGUUCAGGUUGGAACAGGCCUUGCUUCGCCAGCCCAUUGACAUCGAUUACAUCGAGUUUAUCUGCAGGAGUGAUAUGGCGCUGAUUGCAUCCUUAUCUAAUCACUUGCAAUUCCCAGAAGAGGUACUUGGAGGUCUACAUGGGCUUCUCACACUGCUACAAGAAGAAAUUGACAACAGAGGGACAACUGUUGUGGUGGAGAGAGACACAAGCCAAAGGGGACAUCCGAUUGUCGUUGCUCGAGGGCACAUAGAGGAUCUCCUGGAAAUGGACCUCUCCAUUACAUGUAUCUCCAAAUUGACAGGCAUUUCAGUGAGGACAUUGUUCCGCAGGAUGCAGGAAUGGGGACUGUCUGUAAGGGACAGAUACAGCAACAUGUCUGAUGAUGACCUUGACCGUUUAAUCAUCGAGAUCAAACAGACCUCUCCAAAUUUGGGUUAGUUGGUCAACAAAAGUACAUCACAUCUUUAUUAUUACCGUGAAAGCCACACAGACCUCACUUUGAGUGAAUUCGAGUUGU
rnacentral:lncRNA from 1 species